CAAUAGCGUAUAUUAAAGUUGUUGCGGUUAAAAAGCUCGUAGUUGGAUUUCAGCCGAGGACGACCGGUCCUGCUUCGCGCAGGAACCUGGUUUGGCCGAGGCAUCUCCUGGUGUGAGUAGUGGCGUGUGAAAACGCCACACAACCUCCAGGGCUUUUACUUUGAGGAAAUUAGAGUGUUUCAAGCAGGCGUUUCUGCCUUGAAUACAUUAGCAUGGAAUAAUAGGAUAGGACUUCAGUCCUAUUUUGUUGGUUCUUGGGAUUGUAGUAAUGAUUAAUAGGGACAGUCGGGGGCAUUCGUACUUAACAGUCAGAGGUGGAAUUCUUGGAUUUGUUAAAGACGAACUACUGCGAAAGCAUUUGCCAAGGAUGUUUUCAUUGA
rnacentral:rRNA from 1 species